UCCAGAAUGGCGCAAUGGUAGCGCAAAGGUAGUAAAUACCUUAUGUUGUAGGUUCGAAUCCUACUUCCGGAU
rnacentral:tRNA from 1 species